rnacentral:rRNA from 1 species
AGAUUGAACGCUGGCGGCAGGCCUAACACAUGCAAGUCGAGCGGUAGAGAGGUGCUUGCACCUCUUGAGAGCGGCGGACGGGUGAGUAAUGCCUAGGAAUCUGCCUAGUGGUGGGGGAUAACGUUCGGAAACGGACGCUAAUACCGCAUACGUCCUACGGGAGAAAGCGGGGGACCUUCGGGCCUCGCGCCAUUAGAUGAGCCUAGGUCGGAUUAGCUAGUUGGUGAGGUAAUGGCUCACCAAGGCGACGAUCCGUAACUGGUCUGAGAGGAUGAUCAGUCACACUGGAACUGAGACACGGUCCAAGACUCCUA